AGAAGGACGCGGAGACUACGAGGAGGAAUGUUUCGGAGGCGCUGGAACCGGGGAGGUUCCCCGCGCUGGUUGUCAGCCGGCGUCCCAAGGUGUGGUGUCUCCGAGGUCCAGCACGGCGGCUUUUUGUUUACCUAGCCGUCCCCAGCUGCGACGUGGGGAGAAAAGUCUUCGCCUGGAUGUGAAUUUGGAAUGAGAGGCUGAAUAGUAUUUCCGGAGCUUGGCAAGAAACGAAGCAAUGAAGGUGAAAGCCCAGCUGGAUAAUCGUUCAGUGAGAAGGACAAGGAGGAAGGGAAUUGAGGGUGUUGAUGAGACAAGAUCAUGGGACACAGAUGAAAAGGAACGAGAAACAACCCUGAUGAGACCUCCCAUCUUGACUUCUAACAUCAUGGCUUAGUUUUGUCUGGUUUUCAACUUUACAUAAAUGGAAUCAAACAGGCAGACUGGAGUGCGAUCUCAGCCCACUGCAAGCUCUGCCUCCUGGGUUCAAGCAAUUCUCCUGCCUCAGCCUUCCAAGUAGCUGGGACUACAGGUGAACACCACCAAGCCCGGCUAGUUUUUUGUAUUUUUUAGUAGAGACGGGGUUUCACCGUGUUAGCCAGGAUGGUCUCGAUCUCCUGACCUCGUGAUCCGCCCGCCUCGGCCUCCCA
rnacentral:lncRNA from 1 species